CUUGGAGGGAACCAACUGACCUUGAAUUUCAGGUUUCCCUCCCCAUGGCCCCUCCGCUCCCGCCGGAGUUUGCUCGCCGCCGGCCCGUUAGAGCCCGCCGGCGACCUCCCCGCCACCCCUGACCCCUCCGCCGCCUCUCUGGCUGCAACCGCCGCCGUUCCCCUUGCCCCGUCCGGCUAGUCGCGCCCCGCGCCGGGAGCCGCCCCAAGCCGAAGGCGUAGCGGCGGCUAGGGCUCGCGCCGCCGCCGGCCGGCCCCUCGUGGCCCUCCCCUGCGUCCGCCGCGGCCUCCGUCAACCCCUCCGCCGCCCUCCAGCACCAUGGCCGCCCUACAGCACUGUCGCCGUGCAGGCUCCUCCUCCUCCACGGCUCUCAUGGCAGCGGCGGCGGCGUAGACCACGGCGAGCUCGUCCGUGACGAGCACCGCGCCUCCCGCUCCUCUUCCUCGUCGCCGUCUCGCGUCCCCCUCCUCUACCCCCCGCGCGCUGUUGUCCCGACCCCCUCGUCAACAAGCUGCUCGUGCGCCAUGGUCAUGGCCGCCGUCCGACCGACGAACGCCGCUGCGGAAGCUCCGGCGACGUCUCCCGCGCCGGCGCUGCUGCGCCCGACCUCCCUUGUGCCCCACACGCGCCAGCUGCAUCUCCCCGCGGGUUCAAUUUGGGGCAAUUUGGGAUUGAGUUUGGGGCUGAUUUGGGGAAGAUGGAGAUUUGUGAAAAAAAAAGAAAAGGAAAAAGAAUAUAGCAAUGCGGCCGGCGUGAGCAAGUGACCCGCGCGUCGGCGCGUGACACAUGGAAAAAAAUGCACGGACGAGGAAGGGAGACAAGCAAGGAAGCAUCUCACGACAAAGGAAAUUUAUUUGUGACGAGUUUAACAAACUCGACCUCCUGCCUCACCGUUUAAAAACGAAACUCGACCUCGUAAAACCGAGGGAGUACCAAAAUGCCUAAACUGAUACAUGGUUGUGUGAAAUGUGUAUGCGUUUAUUGAUAUUUUUCUAUUCAUAUUGUUAUUUUUGCCAUUUGUGAGCUUUGUAUAUUUGCGCCUUCCAUUUGAGUCUCGUCUAACUUUGCCCCAAAUCAUGUACCCAGCCGAUGAAAAUGAAUGGAAUAUGGAGCAAACUAUUGCCACCGUCA